AGCAUCUCUUCCAAGUGGACUUUUCCAGGCAGUUAGGCCCCCAGGUGCAAAUCACAGAGCUGGCCAUAGAGGCAGAAUGGUCAGGGUGUCAUCUGGACAGUGUGAACGGUGGAGCCAGCAUAGUGAGAGGAAGAAGACUGGCACAACAGACAACUGUGAUUUGAUUAGGCUCAAGAUGGAGUUGCUCAUGCUAAGUCCGAUGUCAGCAAACCAGAACUUAAUUAGGUUUCUAUGCUUGGCUCUCCCAGAAGAGGAAGUCUGAGGUCAACCAGACAGUGCUUGCCUGCGCAGCGCAAGUUACCAGCCCAGCUCCAAGGCAGCCGUUUGCUCCCUGUGAGGAAACUAACCUUGCUUUAGCCAAUCGGCAAACACCUAGUAUGACUUCCCUGUUCCUGCUCCCUUUGAUCUAUAAAAAUCUCUCACCCUGUACAGUUGUUUGGAGCCCUUUACUAUCUGCUAGAUUUGGAUGCUGCCCAAUUCAUGAAUCAUUGAAUAAAAGCCAACUAGUUCAGUAAA